UGAUUGUUUUUAUUUGUAUUGUCAUUCAACGUACAUCAUAUAGCACGGACACAUGCUAUCUCUAUUUGAGCUUACAUAUAUUCAUAGUUAUCGCGGUGUUGGGGAAUAACGGAUUUAUCUAUCUUAUAAAGCACGUGUUAUAGCUCGACCAAUGAGAUUUCACUCGUAUUAUCAUUAUGGGAAGCAGCAUCGUUCAGGGGUUUUCCAAAAUUUCUUCUUAAAUAUCUGCAACAAAAGUCACAAAUUUCAUAUUACAUUGCCCUGACACCAGGUAACAUUCGAAAUAUCACACUUAUUACAGUAAAAGAGCCAAUAUAAAAGCGCAAUGAGUAAUCAAAUCAACAUUUAUAAUUUGAACGCUGCCAGUCACGACUUCGAGGGCGAAAUUCAUUUACAUCACAAAUGCGGUUCUGUACAGAAGAGAUACACAGUCAAAGGACAUAUCGUUUAUUUUCUUUUGCGGAAAUGUUGCUGCACGGCAUUCUACGAAGACGUGACUUAUAUGAUUCCUGAACAAAUUGGGCAAUUUCCAAGCAAUGGAGUGAAACUGACCACAGACCCAAACCUAAGAAUUCAGGGCGAAGAAUUUUGGAAUGGACGUAUGGGACAAAAACAAUACAAACUAAAAGUGAUUCAUGGGUAUACGCAAGCGAGUAGAUCAGCAAUGCCAUCACAUGCAUACUGAGAUUUCGUCGUUAUUCAAAAAAAAGAACAAAAUAAAUCAUCAUCGAUUUCCAUCUUCAUUGAACAUUUAUAAGAAAACGGCGAUACCUUGGGAGUGGAAGCUUUCUCGGUAUGACGACGGAAGCAACAAGACCUUUAUCCUGACCAAAGAACAAAUUUCAUCCUAGUGUGUUAUCAUCAGAAGGACAAAACAGCCCAGAAAAAUAAAAAAAAACUUUCUAACAUACCGUACAUGAUAUUUUAUUUGUGUUCAACACAUUUAAAGGUUACUGAGGGGAAGAAAAUACAAGAAUUUUAAUAUAUAUGAUGUGACUUUAUAUAAUAAAAGUUCAGAUCGCUUA